UCGGGGCGGGGAGGAGCCGGGAUAGCCAAUCAGAUAGGCUCAGGCUGGCUUUCCCAAUUACAAAGCGCGAGAUGGGCGGGGUUUGCAUAGCCUAUCCCAGUGCGGCAGGGGCGGGGUGACUCCACAAUACCCAAUCACAUGGUGUGAAGCGCACGCAGUUGCGUAGCAGCUGACGUCCCCGUUGCCCAGUGGUGGCCAGGGAGAGCCGCAGAGGCUGCACUGAUUGGAGGAGAGGGCGGGACUGCAAGUGGGCGCCUCUGAGCGUGGAAACCCCGGGCGGUGUCGGACAAUCAUUUUUAAUGACAGUCUCUAACAUGUUCUCAAGACCCGUUUUUCUUACUUUGCUGAGCUGUAACUCUCCAUUAUUAUUGAUGGAAACGGUUUUCAUUGGUUUGGGGCUGUGUGAUCAGUUUGAUGUUCACUGACAUUUGCUGGUUAAAAAACUAGCCCUGUUGUUAUGGUCCCCACACUAGACCCCGUACCAGAGAAAGCCCCUAACCCAAAGACCUCACAAUCCAAAUAACAAGCUCAGAAGACUAGAGAAGCCGAGAGGCUCAGAGGAAUGUGGUAACUUUCAGACGCCCUGAUCGUCGGAGCUCUGGGCACCUGGGACCCCUGCAACGAGCGCAUGCUGUGGACCUGCGCGAUCAGUCAAUGCUACACAUGGGUCGUAUGGCACCUCGUGGUCUCAGACACCAUCCGAUGGUCCAGGGACAUCUGCAUCGAACACAGCAUGAGCCACUGACAGUACCAGGAGGCAUGAGCCGGAGUGACAUCAUGCAUCAACUACAAGAAAGGGAUCGAGAAACUUUCUGUUGGACCAUAUGAACUGGAACCAUAAACUCACUGAAUGUUAAAUCUUACCAAAUGAGGGUCAAUCCAGCCUCAUCAUCGUAUCCGCUCAUUAUACUCCACAUCUGAACAUAGCCAUUAUACGAACAACAUACCCUCAUAUCUCAGUGUCUGUACUUUGACCCAUUAACCUUUUAUCCCCAAUUGGGGAUAUUGCAGAUUAUGUAUUCCUUACGCCAUCCAAUCUUAAACCGAACUUCACACCCCUUGAUAAUCUGCACGUUAUUCCUUGAUAACCAGACACUUCUACGCUUAAACUCUGUACCGUUCACUUUUUUUAACAUCAUCUUAAAUAAAAUUUUCCCUCUUC